rnacentral:rRNA from 1 species
UACGUAGGGUGCGAGCGUUGCCCCGGAUUUAUUGGGCGUAAAGGGCGCGUAGGCGGCCACGCACGUCCGUUGUGAAAUCGCCCGGCUCAACUGGGCGGGGUCGGCGGAUACGGCGUGGCUGGAGCAAGCUAGGGGGCAAUGGAAUUCCCGGUGUAGUGGUGGAAUGCGUAGAUAUCGGGAGGAACAUCAGUGGCGAAGGCGGUCUGCUGGGCCGUUGCUGACGCUGAGGCGCGACAGCGUGGGGAGCGAACAGG